UACGUAGGGGGCUAGCGUUGUCCGGAAUCAUUGGGCGUAAAGAGCGCGUAGGCGGCCCGGUAAGUCUGCUGUAAAAGUCAAAGGCUUAACCUUUGAAAGUCAGUGGAUACUGUCGGGCUAGAGUCCGGAAGAGGCGAGUGGAACUCCUGGUGUAGCGGUGGAAUGCGCAGAUAUCAGGAAGAACACCAACGGCGAAGGCAGCUCGCUGGGACGGAACUGACGCUGGGGCGCGAAAGCGUGGGGAGCGAACAGG
rnacentral:rRNA from 1 species